AUACGCAUAGCUCAGUUGGUUAGAUAGGGAGCGGCUACGGAGUAGCAAAAAUAGUCCUGUGGACUGUUUUUAGCGAUUCUCGGUUGAGCAUUGUGAAACCGCAAUGUCUCCAAAACCGAAGGUCGAAGGUUCAAAUCCUUCUGCGUAUG
rnacentral:tRNA from 1 species